UACGUACCGGACAAACGUUAUUCGGAAUUACUGGGCUUAAAGGGUGCGUAGGCGGCCCUGUAAGUCAGUGCUGAAAUAUCCCGGCUUAACCGGGAGGGUGGCAUUGAUACUGCGGGGCUAGAGUACAGAUGAGGUAGGCGGAAUUGACGGUGUAGCGGUGAAAUGCUUAGAUAUCGUCAAGAACACCUAUAGCGAAGGCAGCUUACUAGGCUGUAACUGACGCUGAGGCACGAAAGUGUGGGGAUCAAACAGG
rnacentral:rRNA from 1 species